CGCCGCCGUCGCCCAUAUCUCGCCGUUCCUCUCCACCGCCCAUGCCCGCCGUCUCUCUCCCUCCUCUCCGUUACCACCUCGUUUUGCACCUACCCAACUCAGCUUCAACACCGCUGGAGCCCCUUCUUCCUGUUUCCCCCUCAGCACAAACCGCAGCAGCAGAGCCACCACCGUACCGUCGGCCACCAAGUUCUCCAAUGGGAGAUACAUCAGAGAAGACUAUCUUGUGAAGAAGCUGUCGGCUAAGG
rnacentral:misc_RNA from 1 species